rnacentral:rRNA from 1 species
AGUUUGAUCCUGGCUCAGGAUGAACGCUGGCGGCGUGCCUAACACAUGCAAGUCGAACGAAGCGCUUAAGACGGACCCUUCGGGGGAAGAUUUAAGUGACUGAGUGGCGGACGGGUGAGUAACGCGUGGGCAACCUGCCCUGUACAGGGGGAUAACAGUUGGAAACGGCUGCUAAUACCGCAUAAGCGCACAGUGGGACAUCCCACAGUGUGAAAAACUCCGGUGGUACAGGAUGGGCCCGCGUCUGAUUAGCUAGUUGGCAGGGUAACGGCCUACCAAGGCAACGAUCAGUAGCCGGUCUGAGAGGAUGAACGGCCACAUUGGAACUGAGACACGGUCCAAACUCCUACGGGAGGCAGCAGUGGGGAAUAUUGCACAAUGGGGGAAACCCUGAUGCAGCAACGCCGCGUGAGUGAAGAAGUAUUUCGGUAUGUAAAGCUCUAUCAGCAGGGAAGAUAAUGACGGUACCUGACUAAGAAGCUCCGGCUAAAUACGUGCCAGCAGCCGCGGUAAUACGUAUGGAGCAAGCGUUAUCCGGAUUUACUGGGUGUAAAGGGUGCGUAGGCGGCAAGGCAAGUCAGAUGUGAAAGACCGGGGCUCAACUCCGGGGCUGCAUUUGAAACUGUUUUGCUGGAGUCCAGGAGAGGCAGGCGGAAUUCCUAGUGUAGCGGUGAAAUGCGUAGAUAUUAGGAGGAACACCAGUGGCGAAGGCGGCCUGCUGGACUGGAACUGACGCUGAGGCACGAAAGCGUGGGGAGCAAACAGGAUUAGAUACCCUGGUAGUCCACGCCGUAAACGAUGAAUAGUAGGUGUCGGGGCCCGUAUAGGCUUCGGUGCCGCAGCAAAAGCCAGAAAGUAUUACGCCCGGGGAGUACGGUCGCAAAGAGUGAAAAUCAAAGGAAUUGACGAGGACCCGCCCCAGCGGUAGAAGCAUGGGGUUUAAUUCGAAGCAACGGGAAGGACCUUACCAUGUCUUGACAUCCCUCUGACCGUUCCUUAGCUGGAACUUUCCUUCGGGACAGGGGAGACAGGUGGUGCAUGGUUGUCAUCAGCUCGUGUCGUGAGAUGGUGGGUUAAGUCCCGCAGCGAGCGCAACCCCUAUCCCCAGUAGCCAGCGGUUCGGCCGGGCACUCUGAGGAGACUGCCAGGGAUAACCUGGAGGAAGGCGGGGAUGACGUCAAAUCAUCAUGCCCCUUAUGAUUUGGGGUACACACGUGCUACAAUGGCGUAAACAAAGGGAAGCAAGCCUGCGAAGGUAAGCACAUCCCUAAAAUAACGUCCCAGUUCGGACUGCAGUCUGCAACUCGACUGCACGAAGCUGGAAUCGCUAGUAAUCGCGGAUCAGAAUGCCGCGGUGAAUACGUUCCCGGGUCUUGCACACACCGCCCGUCA